UGCCUUUGUAGGCCAAGAUCAUGCCGCGAA
rnacentral:piRNA from 1 species